CAAUAGCGUAUAUUAAAGUUGUUGCAGUUAAAAAGCUCGUAGUUGGAUUUCUGCUGAGGACGAUCGGUCCGCCCACUGGGUGAGUAUCUGGCUCGGCCUUGGCAUCUUCUUGGAGAACGUUGCUGCACUUGACUGUGUGGCGCGGUAUCCAGGACUUUUACUUUGAGGAAAUUAGAGUGUUUCAAGCAGGCGCACGCCUUGAAUACAUUAGCAUGGAAUAAUGAGAUAGGACCUUGGUUCUAUUUUGUUGGUUUCUAGAGCUGAGGUAAUGAUUAAUAGGGAUAGUUGGGGGCAUUCGUAUUUAACGGUCAGAGGUGAAAUUCUUGGAUUUGUUAAAGACGGACUACUGCGAAAGCAUUUGCCAAGGAUGUUUUCAUUGA
rnacentral:rRNA from 1 species